UACGUAGGUGGCAAGCGUUGUCCGGAUUUAUUGGGUUUAAAGGGUGCGUAGGCGGCCUAUUAAGUCAGUGCUGAAAUAUCCCGGCUUAACCGGGAGGGUGGCAUUGAUACUGAUGGGCUUGAGUAAAGUUGAGGUAGGCGGAAUUGACGGUGUAGCGGUGAAAUGCUUAGAUAUCGUCAAGAACACCUAUUGCGAAGGCAGCUUACUGGGCCAGUACUGACGCUGAGCCGCGAAAGCCAGGGGAGCGAACGGG
rnacentral:rRNA from 1 species